UACGAAGGUCCCAAGCGUUAUCCGGAUUUAUUGGGUUUAAAGGGUGCGUAGGCGGGCUGUUAAGUCAGUGGUGAAAGCUCCGAGCUUAACUCGGAAACUGCCAUUGAUACUGACGGUCUUGAGUACAUUUGAGGUGGGCGGAAUGUGUCAUGUAGCGGUGAAAUGCUUAGAUAUGACACAGAACACCGAUUGCGAAGGCAGCUCACUAAACUGUAACUGACGCUGAGGCACGAAAGCGUGGGGAGCAAACAGG
rnacentral:rRNA from 1 species